GUUGCUUCUCGGCCUUUUGCUCAGAUCGACUGUAGUAUCUGUUCUAAUCAGUCUAAUGUCUGAUACGUCCUCUAUCUGGGAACCAUGUAUUAAGUUGGUUUGUGGAUCAGGGAGUUGGAGUAGGGGCUUGCUCCGUCCACUCCACACACUGACCUGGUUUUGCAGUACCUCCAGGAACGGUGCAACCCUU
ensembl:snRNA U2 U2 spliceosomal RNA